UACGUAGGGGGCAAGCGUUGUCCGGAUUUAUUGGGCGUAAAGCGCUCGUAGGCGGUUCGUCGCGUCGGCUGUGAAAACCCGAGGCUCAACCUCGGGCCUGCAGUGGGUACGGGCAGGCUAGAGUGUGGUAGGGGAGACUGGAAUUCCUGGUGUAGCGGUGGAAUGCGCAGAUAUCAGGAGGAACACCGAUGGCGAAGGCAGGUCUCUGGGCCACUACUGACGCUGAGAAGCGAAAGCAUGGGGAGCGAACAGG
rnacentral:rRNA from 1 species